rnacentral:sRNA from 1 species
UCUUCCUGUCCUCUGCCUGCAGCUGGCUGACGUGGUGGACAGUGAGGCGCUGCAGGUAUACAUGAAACCCCCAGUGCACGAAGAGGCCAAGGCGCCUUCCAGAGGCUUCGUGGUGCGGGACGCACCCUGGGCCGCCAGCAGCAGUGAGAAGGCUCCUGACAUGAGCAGCUCUGAGGAAUUUCCCAGCUUUGGGGCUCAGGUGGCUCCCAAGACCCUCCCUUGGGGCCCCAAACGAUAAUGAUCAAAAAGCAGAAACCUCUCCAGCCUGCUGACCCGAACCCAACCACACAAUGGUUUGUCUCAAUCUGACCCAGCGGCUGGAUCCUCCGUAAAUUGUUGACGCUCUUCCCCCUU